GGUUCGGUAGCUUAGUUGGUAAAGCACUUGUCUAGCGAAUAAGGGUUCAAAUCUCACCUGAGCUG
rnacentral:tRNA from 1 species